rnacentral:rRNA from 1 species
GACGAACGCUGGCGGCGUGCUUAACACAUGCAAGUCGAACGGAAAGGGCCUGUUUUUGUGGGGUGCUCGAGUGGCGAACGGGUGAGUAACACGUGAGUAACCUGCCCUUUACUUCGGGAUAACAUCAGGAAACUGGGGCUAAUACCGGAUAGGAGCUCCUGCUGCAUGGUGGGGGUUGGAAAGUUUCGGCGGUUGGGGAUGGACUCGCGGCUUAUCAGCUUGUUGGUGGGGUAGUGGCUUACAAAGGCUUUGACGGGUAGCCGACCUGAGAGUGUGACAGGCCACAUUGGGACUCAGAUGCCGCCCGGACUCCUUCGGGAGGCAGCAGUGGGGGAUAUUGCACGAUGGGCGGAAGCCUUAUGCAGCGUCUCCGCGUGCGGGAUGGCGGCCUUCGGGUUGUAACCCGCUUUCGCCUGUGACGAAGCGUAAGUGACGGUAAUGGGUAAAGAAGCACCGGCUAACUACGUG